rnacentral:lncRNA from 7 species
GGGGUUUGUUUAGAAACCAGAUGCAGAGGAGCGCGGCGUCGCCACACAUGGCAGGGCAACAGCAUCCUGCUCCUUAGUGCUGCAAUGGGGAGCAACCUCGCACAGCCCGUGUCAGCACACCAGUGAGCUGAGGUUCUUAGUAAGACAUCCCAGGACCAUAUCUUUAAUGGAGAAUUAGCCUUCCUGUAGUCUCUGCCUGCCUCAGAACACCAAUGCUGCAAGCUGGGAACUGACAGCUGGAUCUGCAGGACACCAACUGCAUCUCUCUGCUCCUGAGACUUGGGGAGAGCCUUCAGGGCUGUGAUAAAGUAGAUGCAACUGAGGUGACCACCUGAUCUUUAAUCUUCUUGAUUUCUUGUUGACAUGAAGAGUCUGUUUUUUGUUUUCCCACACUGCUGGAGGAUGGUAGCAGAAACAUUAAUGGAUGUGGAUCAGCAACAUCGCUCACAGACUGGGAGAGGAGGAAGAAUAUCCUGCCCUUUACCACUGAAGCUUAAUACCAACUUACAGACCAAUCCAUGGCACUCAUAUUCCUGUCAGCAGAUGUGGAUUUUCCAGCAGCAAAUAAGCCACUAAUGGUACAAAGUCUUUCUCAACAUGGUGUAACACUUGACCAACCCAGGCCAAAAAAUGAAGUCAACUCAUGCAUGUUACUGUAUCACAUCAGGCCAAAGAGCUUUGUCCUUCUGUCACCUAGCAAGGACUGUGUAUGGGGGACUCUUGUGUGUAUGUGUUACAAACCACUGCUGGUCACAUUAACAGAAUAAGAAACCAGAAACAUAAUGGAGGUCAAGUAUGAAGUGUUGUGAGCCUCCAAAUGUAGAGGUCAGGCAUACAAUGAAAACAACAAAACAAAAUUGUAAUGCUAGUUGCAAGCUGCGUGGAUAAUCAAUACCAGAAUGUGAUUCCUUUUAAUCAGGGGUUAUUUUAGAUGGCAUCAGAGGGGAAAAAAAAAAUUAAGUCUAAAUUUGCUAAUUGGGAAGUUGAAAUCCAUGGCUGACAGCAGGCUCCCAGGAAAGAAGUAGGUUGCAUGCAGUAAGAGUAGUGUUCAGCAACAAGGUCACAGCAGUUAGAUCACCAGUGAGAUAGAAGUCCACACUAAGGUAAUUCUUGUGAAUUCUUUUAUAUGCUCGAAGCAGAACAAGGAUAUUGAAGUGUCCUAUCUGGAGGAUUCUCUCCGUGGCACAGCACUCAUAAAUGAAAGCUCUCUGAUCUCAGCCUCUGAAUUGAACCAACAGCUAUCCUAGGCCUAGUAAGAUGGAAAGGCAGCUAUUUCCCAGAACUUGAAUGAUAUCCCCCUCAAAAAGUAUUUGAGCAACUGUUCUUUUGCAUUAAACUGUCCUCAGCUGAGGUGAGGUGGGUUAUUGU